GUUGUAUGCGCUACCAUACUAUUGUAGUGCACCGGUGCUGUGAUGUGACCGGAGCGCGGGAUAUUUAGGGUGACUUGCAUCUGAGAAGGGGAAACUACACUGCUUGUUAUUAAUCACAGGUGCUCUCUGACACAAUGAGGAUCCGGUAGUUGACAAGAUUGUAAAUUAUACCCUGCACAUCCUUUUCUUGGUGACGGGAGAGGAAUAUAUGAUUGUGAAGAAGAUGCCGACCGGUAAAUUGGGUGUGAACAGACCUGAUAUAAAGCUUUUAACUGACAAGCUACUGGAGCUCACUAACAACAUCAUUCAUCUGGUGUCUGCACAGG